rnacentral:rRNA from 1 species
AACGAACGCUGGCGGCAUGCCUAACACAUGCAAGUCGAACGAGACCUUCGGGUCUAGUGGCGCACGGGUGCGUAACGCGUGGGAACCUGCCCUUAGGUUCGGAAUAACUCCCCGAAAGGGGUGCUAAUACCGGAUAAUGCCUUCGGACCAAAGAUUUAUCGCCUUUGGAUGGGCCCGCGUUGGAUUAGCUAGUUGGUAGGGUAAAAGCCUACCAAGGCGACGAUCCAUAGCUGGUCUGAGAGGAUGAUCAGCCACACUGGGACUGAGACACGGCCCAGACUCCUACGGGAGGCAGCAGUGGGGAAUAUUGGACAGUGGGCGAAAGCCUGAUCCAGCAAUGCCGCGUGAGUGAUGAAGGCCUUAGGGUUGUAAAGCUCUUUUACCCGGGAUGAUAAUGACAGUACCGGGAGAAUAAGCGCCGGCUAACUCCGUG